CUUCAUAACAUCAACUAACUACCUCGUGCAACAAGAUGGCGCCGGGAAACCGUGGGAGACCCUCAUGGCCCCGGUGACAUCACCUAUAGUAGGCAGAGCAUUAGAACAACCACUUAACACCUAACCAAUUAUUGAUGUAUUAUUCCAUGUUAUCUCUGACAAUGCUUAUGAUGUAAUUUUGCUUUUAAAGGGACCUGCCGUCCCCUCUGAAUAAACAUUCCUCAAGUUAUUCAACAACCUGGAACCUGUGUCUGGUGUGAAUUACUUCAGGGAGCGUGCAC